GUCCAGGGAUGGGAAUCGAACCCACAAUGUUCCGCUUACCGGGCAGAUGGCAUGUCCACUAGGCUACCCUGGA